GACGAACGCUGGCGGCGUGCCUAAUACAUGCAAGUCGAGCGAACGGAGGAGAGCUUGCUCUCCGAAGUUAGCGGCGGACGGGUGAGUAACACGUGGGCAACCUGCCUAUAAGACUGGGAUAACUUCGGGAAACCGGAGCUAAUACCGGAUAGAUUCUUUCCUCUCAUGAGGAAGGAAGGAAAGAUGGUUUCGGCUAUCACUUAUAGAUGGGCCCGCGGCGCAUUAGCUAGUUGGUAAGGUAACGGCUUACCAAGGCGACGAUGCGUAGCCGACAUGAGAGGGUGAUCGGCCACACUGGGACUGAGACACGGCCCAGACUCCUACGGGAGGCAGCAGUAGGGAAUCUUCCGCAAUGGACGAAAGUCUGACGGAGCAACGCCGCGUGAACGAUGAAGGCCUUCGGGUCGUAAAGUUCUGUUGUUAGGGAAGAACAAGUAGCGUAGUAACUGGCGCUACCUUGACGGUACCUUGUUAGAAAGCCACGGCUAACUACGUGCCAGCAGCCGCGGUAACAC
rnacentral:rRNA from 1 species